AUCCAUCCAUUUGGUCUCCUUGCCAAGGCAGACUCUUAAGUAAAGCUGUUCUAUAAAGUUGUCCCUUGAUUCUUUAUAAACAUACAGUCACUUGGGGGAGGUCAAAGAUUUAUUUCCUCCUCCAACUAACCCCUGACACCACUUUCUGUGUGAAUUCUAGGGUUAAUCGUUAAUCCUGACUGGUACUUGGUCAUGUCUGCCUCUUCCUGUGUUGACUUUCCAACUGUGCUGACAAGGGAUCCCUGAUAAAUGCGCACAACUCAACCACACGCCAGUGGAGGGAAGGGAACGUGAUCUGGAAUGAGCUGACUUUACCAGGAGAACUGAUGGCUGAGCAGCCUGGCUUGCAAAGUGACUGACUCCAGUGCACUGUGAUACUCCCUUCACACGGUGGUGGUUAUAAUGAGACUACACAGCCUGAAAACCGCACGCUGGUCCUAAACGCGGCACGGACGCCCAGGUGAGCUCACAGCUGGGGGCUUCUGCUCAUCAUCAGGGAGGCAGCACUGUGAACACAGAGUCGGACAAAUCCCACAAGGCUGUGUGCGUGUGUAACACUCCAGCAGGUGAGGGAUUACAAGUUCCAGUCCACUGAGGUCAGUGAACAUCAGGACCUCGCGGGAACAUCACAUGACAAGAGACGAGCAAGCGAUGGCUGCACAGGCUAUCAGGAAAAAUGUUUCUCCUUCCGGCCAGUUCUUCAAGUCUCCUCUACGUGGGGUGUCUCCACAGUCUAGUUUCCUUUAUGUGAUAGCACUCCAAAUUCCCCAGGUCAGGACAAUGUCUGGGCUUAAUGGGAUGCAGCAUUAAACCCAGACCUUUCCCACAGGUGGGUACACAGGCCUCGGGUGUGGAGGCUGCUCUAGUGUUAGUGAAGAAAUUAGACUAUCUGUCUAAUUUCUAUCUAUCCUCAGUGACGGCCUAACAACAUCACCAGAGCACAGACAUCUGAGCUUCUCAUACAGCCCCACACCCCGCAAUGCAUGAUGUGAUCAUUCCACAGAAUUUACUCAGUUCCCAGUGCUUUUACAGGUGCCAAGGACAUCACAGUAAAUAAAACAGACACGUCUGUCUUCAAGAUGCCCAUAGCCAAGUUGAAUGGAUAAGGAAACCUGCUGCUAGAUGAAAUCAGGUUUGACCCAGAGGUGAUCAGGUUACCUCAGUGCAAGCAGCCAGUGUCCAGUGAAGGGAGAGAGAGCAGUGGGGUGGAGAGGCACACAGUUCUCAGGACAGAGGGUCUCUUCAAAGAGAGAAGUGGGACCACUGCAGACACACAGUCAAUAAAAGCCCAAGUGAGGAUUAGAAGUUCCCUGGCACUGUGGGUAUGCUAAAGGCUACAGUGCCCAGUUUGUGACCAGUCCUGGGGUUAGGAGCUUUGGUACCAUCAGUAGGAUCAAAGGUGGGCCUUUUGGCCAGGAGUUCCUUCCACUCCUGGUGGGCUGAUUCUGUCAGGCUUAGCUUCUCGGGAAGUACACACCAGGAACAGAAGCCAGUGAAGGAAGAGUGAGGAGCAAGUUCACACCAAUUCACAUAAUAUUUUCUUUCUUUUUUUGAGACAGAGUCUCACUAUGUCACCAUUGGUAGAGUGCUGUGGCAUCACAGCUCACAGCAACCUCCAACUCUUCGGCUUAAGUGAUUCUCUUGCCUCAGGCUCCCAAGGAGCUGGGACUGCAGGUGCCCACCACAACACCCAGCUAUUUUUGCAGGCCCAGGUCAGGCUUGAAACUGCCAGCCUUGGUGUGUAGCUGGCAUCCUACUCACUGACCUAUAGCACGAGCCACACACGAUUAUUUUCAAGUACAAACAGAUAACAGGGUGAUUUGAGGAGAUCUGUGAUAGCAGUGUGGAGUUCAGCCCCAGUCAGGUCACGGGGCAGAGCUUAUCCUGAGACUUAUCCUUUCUUAUCUUCAAUUACUUCAUCUGAAAACCAACCAAAAAAAUCCUACAGCAUCAUUGGCCUUCCUAUAAUAAUUCUUAUUAUAAGAAUUAAAUGUAAAGAGCUCUGAAAGGGUUUAACAUAUUGCCUAGAAGAUAAUGAACUCUCCUGGUAGGAGCUAACUCUGGUUACUUCAAGUUCCAGAAGCUCUCCUGCUGCAGAGACUACUAGAAUAAACUUACUGUCAGGAGGUCUUUGAAAGGAAGCCUCAGUUACAAGAAACAAAAAAUAAAAGCCCAGUAAUAACACAGGACCGCCACUCAGAGUUAAUUUUGGUUGGAAGUAUCUAGAAUUACUAUAGAAAAAGGAUGACUCCCAGAGGCUCAAUAUUGAAGGAAACUCUCAUUUCUCAAGUUUGGUGCAAACAGGGUUCACGCUGGCUAUCGAGGAGGUGGGCGUAAAGGAAAGUAAAAGGAAGUGGUUUCAGAAUACAUUAUGACGCUACGACCAUCCCUCUGGCCCAGUAAACUGCUGGAGGACCAGAGGUCACUGCAAAGGCAAAAAGAAGUUAGAUCUUAACUUCUCAGCCUCCUGAUCUUCACCCAGAAAAUGUGAUUUGUUGACAACGCAUAUCCUAUAAAUUAUUCAAAAGAAGGGAAAUAGUUAUUAAAAAGACAGAUAGCUUUCCUCCCCUUGUUUUUCUUAAUGAACAGGAAAAGGGAAAUAAAAGGUAGCAAACAAAUUCAAUUUACAGUUUCUUGGUAGGAAUUCCCAUCGGACCCUUUCCUUGGUGCUGCUAGAGGACAGACCUGCUCAACUAAAAUCACUACCAGGCACCUGGGAAACGCUGCGUCUGUGGUUGGGAGAGAGAGAUUCUCAUCCAUUCUCAGCCUUCUGUAAACUGGAUGCCGUGCACAACCAACAUGGUGACCGCACACCCUCCCGGGGCCACACGCUGUGCUCCCGACUCGGCCCCCUUACUCCAUGACCUAGAGAGACCGAGGCAAUGAUUCCAAGUACCAACAAAGAGAAAGUACCCAGAAAGCUCUAAAUUGUUUUCAGAAACUAUUUAAGGUAUGAUAAUAUCUAAAGAAAAAAACAAUAAUUUUUUUCAGACAAAUACAUAAAUUGUAUUUUGAUUUGGGUAUUGGUUAAACAAAUGUAUGAUCUAGAAAUUUUACUGUAUAAAGUAAAGCUCAAUUUAGAAUAUACUUUCUCACCCCCCCUACCCCAAAUCUCAGAACUUCUGAGUCCAAAUCAGUGAGGAAUUGUCAUUCGGAUGAUUCUCUUUGGAAAGCUAUUCAUUUAUUUCAAUGGUAUUGCUAUUACAAAUAAUUUUAAAGUUCCUUAAAUAAUUUUGUUUCUAAACAAAGACUGAUUAACCACAUUAACCAUCACAUACAUUUGAUUCUAUCGUCUUUGUAAUUUAUUUUUCUUGUUUCAAAUUUAACACAUGUUCAUUACAGAAUAUUUUGAAAAAAUAGAUGAAAAAAUGUUUCCAAUUUCAUUAUCUAGGAAUAAAUGUUAACACACCCUGCUUCUGUACAUAUGCAUGUUCACAUAUAUUUGUACACAGGUGUAUACAUACAGGGUUUGCAAAUACUGUUUGGUAUCUUGCUUUGGCACUUUUUUUCGUCUCAUUUGGUAUUUUCUAUAAUUGUGAGCAUUGACUCCAUGGUAUCAUGGAAUGGUCGUCCCAAAGUCUAUUUUUCUAAUACUCCACUAUUUAGAUUGCUUCCAGCUUUUGACUACAAUGAAGAAUAUGCUAAAGGAAUUUUUGCACAUUACUGGGCUGUUUCCUUAGAAUAAAUUCCCGUCAUGAGAAUUACCAUUAUCAUCAAAGCAUAUAUAGAAAUUUAGGGCUUUUGGUAUAUAAUGCCAAAUUACCUUCUUGAAUGUUACAUCGUUUUAUCAAUUUUCACUCUAUUCAACAAUAUACAAAUGACUACAGAUAGUUUUAAAAGUUAAAUCCAUACUCAAAGUGAAAGCAAUUUAUCUCCACUGAAGAUAUUCAAAAUAAUAUAAAGUUGUCAAAUCAUCAUUGCCAUAGCUUAAGGAAUUCCUUGCUGCAUUCUGACCUCUCACAUUUAAUACAGAUUUUAUAUAGACAUACGACCCUCUAAAGAUGACUUUAAUAUACAUUCUUGACAGUAUCUCAUUAAACUUGAUGAGCCAAGUCUUGUAUGGGUAAAGAGAGGAACACACAGCCUCUCAUGCACUCUAAGGAUGGGGUGGUGUCUGUGUGGUGUGUAGCAGUCCAACCAGCCAGGAGAAUGUUUUCAAAGGCAAGUGGCUGGAGUAUACCCGCUGUCAGGUUCUGACAUUCUCACAACGUCUGGAAAUCAAAUCCAGUAACCCGGUUUCUAGCCUACUUCCAUGGCUACUCUCGUCUUUGCCAGUUUCCCCUCAACUCUUUGGAACGCUGGAGGUGGAGUGCCCCACAAUUCAGACCUUGGUCUCUGAUUUCCUCUGUCUACACUUGUGCCUUUAAUGGUCUUCUUCAGCUUUGUGCUUUAAAUACCAUUUAUAUGCAGAGGACUAAAAGAUUUCUAUCUCUAGGUCAGACCACUCCCCCACAUUCCAGAAACACUGUCCACCCACCUGGUCCCUGCACUUGGAUUUUUUAUAGGCAUCUCAAAUUUAUGUCGCAGA